rnacentral:rRNA from 1 species
GAUGAACGCUAGCGGCAGGCUUAACACAUGCAAGUCGAGGGGUAGAAGGAGCUUGCUCCUUUGAGACCGGCGCACGGGUGCGUAACGCGUAUGCAAUCUACCUUUUGCAGAGGGAUAGCCCAGAGAAAUUUGGAUUAAUACCUCAUAGUAUGUAAGGAUGGCAUCAUUUUCACAUUAAAGUCACAACGGCAAAAGAUGAGCAUGCGUCCCAUUAGCUAGUUGGUAAGGUAACGGCUUACCAAGGCUACGAUGGGUAGGGGUCCUGAGAGGGAGAUCCCCCACACUGGUACUGAGACACGGACCAGACUCCUACGGGAGGCAGCAGUGAGGAAUAUUGGACAAUGGGCGCAAGCCUGAUCCAGCCAUGCCGCGUGCAGGAUGACGGUCCUAUGGAUUGUAAACUGCUUUUGUACAGGAGAACACUACUUCGUGAAGUAGCUU